GAUGUGCGACCUCAUUGAGCCGCAGCCGAGCGAGAAGAUCGGCAGGAUGAAGAAGUUGAAGAGAACUUUGUCAGAGAGUUUCAGCCGCAUCGAUAUCAGCAGCCGACCUCCCAGGUCUGAUAGAAGGAGCACAUAUGAACAAAGGAAUGGGCCACAAGUUCCUCAAGCAUUUAGAGCGAACCAGACAACUGCUCUUUGUUGUUGAUAUUUCGGGAUUUCAGCUCUCUUCUGUAACUCCUUACAGAAGUCCCUUUGAAACAAUAAUA